rnacentral:lncRNA from 1 species
AUAAAAGAACUUGAGAUAAAGAACUUGUGAUGGAACUUGUGUUUGAUAGUUUGGUGAAAUAUGAAGAUGGAACUAGUGUUUGAUCGUUUGGUGAAUUCUACAAUCGUGAAAACACUUCCAUUUAUACAACUUUCUAAUAACAUGAGUCAGUGACAAUAGAGUACAAACAAGAGAGUAAAAUACAAGACCUUGUGACAUGAGACUACAAGACAGUAGAGUACAAACAAGACAGUAAAAUACAAGACCUUGUGACAUGAGACUACAAGACACUAGAGUACAAACUAGACGUGUGUUGACAGAGGCUAAGCCUGAAACAAACAACAAACUUGUGUGUCUACAAUCCGUGAGUCCGUGUCACUGAUGCUCCCAAGAUAUGUGACUUGUGUGUCUACAAUCCGAGAGUCCAAGCCUGAAACAAACAACAACAUGAGUCAAUAACCACAAGA